AAACCAGCACCUCAAGUGGUCAGGAUGAUUAUUGGGCCUAAAGCAUCCGUAGCCGGCUCUGUAAGUUUUCGGUUAAAUCUGUACGCUCAACGUACGGGCUGCUGGGAAUACUGCAGAGCUAGGGAGUGGGAGAGGUAGACGGUACUCGGGAGGAAGUGGUAAAAUGCUUUGAUCUCUCGAUGACCACCUGUGGCGAAGGCGGUCUACCAGAACACGUCCGACGGUGAGGGAUGAAAGCUGGGGGAGCAAACCGGAUUAGAUACCCGUGUAGUCC
rnacentral:rRNA from 1 species